CGGGACGUAGCUCAGCUUGGCUAGAGCGCCUGCUUUGGGAGCAGGAGGUCGCAGGUUCAAAUCCUGUCGUCCCGAC
rnacentral:tRNA from 1 species